CGGAACGGGUGGAGUAACGACGUGAGGGAAACCUGCCUCAAAAGGGGGGACGAACAGUUGGAAACGACUGCUAAUACCGCAUAAGCCCACGGCUCGGCAUCGAGCAGAGGGAAAAGGAGUGAUCCGCUUUGAGAUGGCCUCGCGUCCGAUUAGCUAGUUGGUGAGGUAACGGCCCACCAAGGCAACGAUCGGUAGCCGGACUGAGAGGUUGAACGGCCACAUUGGAACUGAGACACGGUCCAA
rnacentral:rRNA from 1 species